UUGAAAUUAUAGGCAAAGGUUGUAGCUGGCCUCUCGGGGCAUGUGCACGCCUGAGCCCCUUAAUCCACACACACCUGUGAACCAAUUGUAAGGGCCCCCUGAAAAGGGCCUUUACGUCUUUAUCACCUACCCGAAGUCUCAUAGAAUGUAAAUGUUAUGUCCUCGCCUUAAAAAAGCGUUGAUGAAAAAAAUUAUA
rnacentral:misc_RNA from 1 species